UGGUAUUACACUUAUGUAUAUACAUUCGUCCCUCUACACGAGUCUUUUUUUACGCGGUAAAUUAGAACUCUACUUACACGAUACUUUUUAUACACGGCCAGAAAAUAUAUAGUCGUUCCUCCAUUUACGCGGCUCUUCACGCCAAAUUAUAACACAUGCAUAAGAAGCAUCGAUAAAACAAUACUUAAUUUAAACAUACAGACGUUAGAAUCAGUCUUAAACAAUCGGCUUUGACAACAGUAUAUUAUUCAAUACACAAAAUGUUUAAUAAACGUUCAAUAAUAAAAAGAAACAGAAAAUCUAUGUCUUUGGACAUAAAAAUGAAAAUUUUAAGUCAACUGGAUGAAGGAGAAAAUCCCUCAGCAAUUGCUAAGGCGUAUAGAAUAAAUGAAUUCACUAUCCGAACAGUCAAGAAAAGGAAGAAAAAUAUUAGAAAUAGUGUGGCCUCUGGAACUUUAUCAAGUUCACAGUGUUUGUUGUACACAAGAAAUCCUGUAAUAGAAAAUAUGGAAAAAGCAUUAAUGAUUUGGAUGAAGGGCAACAC